AUGGACUCCUGGACCCUCUGUGUGUCCCUUUGUAUCCUGGUAGCGACAUGCACAGAUGCUGGCAUUAUCCAGUCACCCAAGCAUGAGGUGACAGAAAUGGGACAAACAGUGACUCUGAGAUGUGAGCCAAUUUUUGGCCACAAUUUCCUUUUCUGGUACAGAGAUACCUUCGUGCAGGGACUGGAAUUGCUGAGUUACUUCCGGAGCUGAUCUAUUAUAGAUAAUGCAGGUAUGCCCACAGAGCGAUUCUCAGCUGAGAGGCCUGAUGGAUCAUUCUCUACUCUGAAGAUCCAGCCUGCAGAGCAGGGGGACUCGGCCGUGUAUGUCUGUGCAAGUCGCUUAGC